UACGGAGGGUGCGAGCGUUGUCCGGAAUCACUGGGCGUAAAGGGCGCGUAGGCGGCCUGAUAAGUAGGGGGUGAAAUCCUGCGGCUUAACCGCAGGGCUGCCUUCUAAACUGUCAGGCUAGAGCACAGUAGGGGCAGGUGGGAUUCCCGGUGUAGCGGUGGAAUGCGUAGAGAUCGGGAAGAACAUCAGUGGCGAAGGCGGCCUGCUGGGCUGUUGCUGACGCUGAGGCGCGACAGCGUGGGGAGCAAACAGG
rnacentral:rRNA from 1 species